UUAGUAGCAGUUAUUUAAAACUCCACAACAUGAUAAAUCACCUCACCUCACCAGCAAGCUACAGUCUAUCAUACUUUAAGUGUGAAUCACAUUACCUUGGGUUUUGUUUUUAAAUUUUCAGCUCUGAGACUGUGUGCUAAAGUGUUUCACAAUUUGCAUUCAUAAAUUUGGGAGAAUCAGGAGAUUUUUUUUUUUUUUUUACCUAUUUCUUUGCCAAUCUCUUGCAUCUCAUCUUUGCUAUUCAGGAAUACAAGCAAACAGUAAAUAAAACAAACAUAUUUCAGAAUCCCAUGUAGCCUUAAAUGCAUAUUAGUGAAUUUUGUUCCGUCAAAUACUGUUUAUAUUUGAUUUUGUAAAGCCUCUUUGAGGAAAACACAGAGGUUUUGCUCUUGUUCAGAUUCUCCUCUUUCUCAAGGUUCUAACACUUUAGGUUAUUGUGAUAUUACUGUUUAUUAUCAGGGUGAUGUCAUCUAAUACACUCAUCUUACCAUCUUCAGAGUCAUCACUGCAUACUACUUAAUAUUUAAAUUAUAUAACAGAAAAAAUACUAAUAGCUUGAACUGAAAAAUAUUAGCACCCUGGAUAACUACCAUCUGUUUAUAAAGAAACAAAAAAUGGGAUCAUAAAUUAGUACUCAAUACUAUAAAUAGAUCUGUGCUAGGAUCUGGCCGUACUGUUUCUGGAUGUAUAUUCAAGAGAAAUUCUGUCUGCUUUCAAAGAGAUAUCUGAACACUCAUGUUUUUUUGUUUUUUACAGCACUGUUCGAUAAGGAAUCAAACAAAAUAUCCAACAACAGUGGGAUGUAUAUCUACAAUGACUGCCACUCAGUCAUAAAAAGAAAUAUUCUACCACAUACAGCAAAAUAGAAUAGUACUUAAAGACAUUAUACUAAUUUAAGUUAGAAUGACAAAAAAUUCUUUUCUUAUAUGUGUUUGUGUAAAAAAUAAAUCCAGGUUUUUUCCUCCUGGGCCCUGCUCCCGGAAUGACUACUCUGAGACUAAUUAUGUAUUAAUAAUUGCUGAGGCCAUAACCUUCAGGUUGUUCUCUGACUUGCUUUUACUUGUUAUCCCUUUUAUUUUAACCUGGUUUCAGCUACCUACUGAAUUACAUAGCUUUUGAAUCUCUCACAACUCUGAAUAUUUCCCAGAAUUCUCUCUAUCCCUGCUGGACGUCCCACUUCCUAUUUCCUGCCUCAGUUCAUUGGCCAUAAGCUUUUUUAUUGACAGGUGAUGAUUAUAAGAAAUACACUCAAUAUGUGUGUGC
rnacentral:lncRNA from 1 species